rnacentral:rRNA from 1 species
GUUUUGUUAAGUCAGAUGUGAAAUCCCCGAGCUUAACUUGGGAACUGCAUUUGAAACUGGCAAGCUAGAGUCUUGUAGAGGGGGGUAGAAUUCCAGGUGUAGCGGUGAAAUGCGUAGAGAUCUGGAGGAAUACCGGUGGCGAAGGCGGCCCCCUGGACAAAGACUGACGCUCAGGUGCGAAAGCGUGGGGAGCAAACAGGAUUAGAUACCCUGGUAGUCCACGCUGUAAACGAUGUCGACUUGGAGGUUGUGCCCUUGAGGCGUGGCUUCCGGAGCUAACGCGUUAAGUCGACCGCCUGGGGAGUACGGCCGCAAGGUUAAAACUCA